GUCUCUGUGGUGCAAUGGGUUAACACAUUUGACUAUUAACCAAAAAGUUGGUGGUUUGAGCCCACCCAGGGAGG
rnacentral:tRNA from 1 species